rnacentral:rRNA from 1 species
UACGUAGGGUGCAAGCGUUGUUCGGAAUUACUGGGCGUAAAGGGCUCGUAGGCGCCAACUAAGUCAGACGUGAAAUCCCUCGGCUUAACCGGGGAACUGCGUCUGAUACUGGUUGGCUUGAAUCCGGAAGAGGCGAGUGGAAUUCCUGGUGUAGCGGUGGAAUGCGCAGAUAUCAGGAGGAACACCGAUGGCGAAGGCAGCUCGCUGGGACGGUACUGACGCUGAGGCGCGAAAGCGUGGGGAGCGAACAGG